UAAUACGGAGGGUGCAAGCGUUAUCCGGAUUUAUUAGGUUUAAAGGGUUCGCAGGCGGAAUUUUAAGUCAGUGGUGAAAGCCUACAGCUCAACUGUAGAACUGCCAUUGAUACUGAUAUUCUUGAGUAUAGAUGAAGUGGGCGGAAUAUGUCAUGUAGCGGUGAAAUGCAUAGAUAUGACAUGGAACACCAAUUGCGAAGGCAGCUCACUAAACUAUUACUGACGCUCAUGAACGAAAGCGUGGGGAGCGAACAGGAUUAGAUACCCUGGUAGUCCACGCCGUAAACUAUGAUCACUAGAUGUUGGCGAUAUAUUGUCAGUGUUUUAGAGAAAUCGUUAAGUGGUCCACCUGGGGAGUACGUUCGCAAGAAUG
rnacentral:rRNA from 1 species